rnacentral:siRNA from 1 species
GGAUCCCUCGCGGGUGCACCGCC